rnacentral:lncRNA from 1 species
UUGAAAAUUAAGAUAACUGUAACUUAUAUUUCUUAAUUUGUUUGUUCAUAUUAGCUAUGAUUGGUGAAUUAAUCUGUGAACUUUUCCUUCUCUUAGGUUAUAUAUAUAUGCAGCUUUUUUUGCUUUCGUAGAAAAAUUUAUAAGCUUUGAAGUUCCCUGUUAACGAGUUUGUAAUCCUAACUCUUCAAUUUACAGGAACAUGCAGGGCAUCGGUCUUCAGGAAAGAAUUCCAAGGGACACGCACGAUGGAAUGGCAAGGCAUCUUUAAGAAAGACUCAACCUUCAUAUAUGAAUAUGAGCUCUGACACUCUUUGGGCAGAGAUUAAAGAAUUCGCAAUGGUUGAAUUCCAAGGGACACGCACGAUGGAAUGGCAAGGCAUCUUUAAGAAAGACUCAACCUUCAUAUAUGAAUAUGAGCUCUGACACUCUUUGGGCAGAGAUUAAAGAAUUCGCAAUGGUCAAAU